rnacentral:rRNA from 1 species
UCCUACGGGAGGCAGCAGUGGGGAAUAUUGCACAAUGGAGGGAACUCUGAUGCAGCGACGCCGCGUGAGUGAAGAAGGUCUUCGGAUCGUAAAACUCUGUCCUUGGUGAAGAAAAGGACGGUAGCCAAGGAGGAAGCCCCGGCUAACUACGUGCCAGCAGCCGCGGUAAUACGUAGGGGGCGAGCGUUGUCCGGAUUUACUGGGCGUAAAGGGUGAGUAGGCGGUUAUAUAUGUCAGGUGUAAAAAGCUAUGGCUUAACCAUAGUAAGCACUUGAAACUGUAUGACUUGAGUGCAGGAGAGGUAAGCGGAAUUCCUAGUGUAGCGGUGAAAUGCGUAGAUAUUAGGAGGAACACCGGUGGCGAAGGCGGCUUACUGGACUGUAACUGACGCUGAGUCACGAAAGCGUGGGUAGCAAACAGGAUUAGAUACCCUGGUAGUCCACGCUGUAAACGAUGAGUGCUAGGUGUUGGGUAGCGAUAUUCAGUGCCGGAGUAAACACAAUAAGCACUCCGCCUGGGGAGUACGGUCGCAAGACUGAAACUCAAAGGAAUUGACGGGGACCCGCACAAGCAGCGGAGCAUGUGGUUUAAUUCGAAGCAACGCGAAGAACCUUACCAAGGCUUGACAUCCCCUUGACAGAUGCAGAGAUGUAUCCUCCCCUUCGGGGGCAAGGGAGACAGGUGGUGCAUGGUUGUCGUCAGCUCGUGUCGUGAGAUGUUGGGUUAAGUCCCGCAACGAGCGCAACCCUUAUCCUUAGUUGCCAGCACAUAUGGUGGGCACUCUAAGGAGACUGCCGGUGAUAAACCGGAGGAAGGUGGGGAUGACGUCAAAUCAUCAUGCCCCUUAUGUCUUGGGCUACACACGUGCUACAAUGGUCGGUACAACGGGCAGCGAAGGAGCGAUCCGGAGCAAAUCCCAAUAAACCGAUCCCAGUUCGGAUUGCAGGCUGCAACUCGCCUGCAUGAAGUCGGAGUUGCUAGUAAUCGCGAAUCAGAACGUCGCGGUGAAUGCGUUCCCGGGUCUUGUACACACCGCCCGUCACACCAUGGGAGUUGGGGGCGCCCGAAGUCAGCUACUAAAGGCUGCCGAAGGUGAAACCAAUGACUGGGGUGAAGUCGUAACAAGGUAACCA